UUUAAAAAUCACAUUUUAUUUAUCUGUGGAACUGCACUACAGAGUAGCAGAUUUUAGAUCUCAAAUCCUGGGUUCCUGGCAUUAAAUUUGAACUAGAUCUGGAUUUUCUCUUCUGCAUGUAUUGCUUUUAUGAUUUUGGAUAGCCUAUCUGGAGUCAUCUUAAACUUCUGUUCUCAAGGAUCACCAAAAGGCCACCUCCCCCAGAUGCACGGUCCAACUGAAUUUCAUGCCUCUGCUCUGUCUUCCCAUGGUGCUUGCUGCUUACACCUGUCAGAACACUGAAGAUAUGGCCGAGUAGAAGGUACAGUGAACUUGAAAUUAUUUGAGUUCUAUUUCAUCAAAAUUUACAGGAGUAUAUUAGACUCAAGUGGCAGCGCUUCGAAUCAGGCUAUGGAGGCCGGGUUGCCAGAGUGCAGGAUUUAAGAAACUGAAUAAAAUGUAAUGAAUAGAAAAUUUGGAGAGACGCUCAGCCAGUCCCAGCACCCAGAAGGAAGCUCCGCUGCUGCCAUCCCAGGCUCCUAGGGCCAAGAAGAUGAGCCAGUCUCAGCACCCAGAA